GGUGACAAAGCCAGAAUGGGGUUUAAUUUGAAGUUAAAUAAUGCGUAAGCUUGUCAUGG
rnacentral:tRNA from 1 species